CGUUGGGGGCCACGUCCACAUCAGAAGGGACUCCUCAGAACCACAGGACUGUUGUGCCCAAGAUUGCGAAUCCGAAAAACCAUGGAGAAGCCCACACCGAAGCAAACACAUGAGGGUUUAUUUACAAGCUCGAGCUUGUGUCCAAGUAUACCUGACAGUGCGGAGCAGGGACUUCGACCCCGAGAGGAAGAAUCAGGGAUUCACCAGUUGGAGAUAACAGCAGUGCUCGUGACAUCACGUGACCUCCUUCAUGCAGGGCACCGAGGCUCCUCCCACAGUGUGGCUACUGUGGACCCGGCUGCUGUGGACAUUGGGGUGCAGGUGUCCCAAGUCGCACUGCAUCUGUAUCUUCGGAGUGAGCUCAGGCCUUUCACCUGCUGUUCUCAGGAUGUUACAAAUAGAGUUACCCUGCAGAGCCUCCACACUGUUUCCAGGGUGGCUGCAAUCAGUCCUCAAUCCCGCCCACAGUGGAAGAGGGUUGAGUGGGUUUUGCAGGACGUGGUAAAACUCUGGUCCACAUUUCAUUUCGCGUCCUGUGGGCUCCAAUUCCUUGACUUAAGUAUUUCUGGGGAAGCCAGGUGUUGGGCUCCGUUUCAGUGAGAUGUUUCCAAAGCUAACAGGCCCCAGCAGGAGCCUGGAAGGAGGCAGGUGUGGCCCCUGGAGUGCCCGCUGCCUUCUGCACCGCCUCCUGCAGCGCCCGAGCAUCCCACAGGGGGCGCCUGAGCCCAGGCCCCACCCAGGAGACAUGAAUGUGCAGUAGGCCUCCUCUGCCUGCACUAAUAGGAGCCAGCCUGUGCUGGGAAGGCCUGAGGAGGACGUGGGGACACGUCCACGCUGAUGAGCUGCAGCUUCAGGAAAUUGUGGGCUCACAUCCAUGCUGAAAGGAGACCCUGGGCCUCCUCAGGACCCAUGGGGCGGCUUCAGGAAGAUGUGGGCCCGCAUCCACACUGACAGGAGCCCCUGGGCCACCUCAGGACAUAAGUUGAGGUUUCUGGAAGCUGCGGGCCGCAUUAAUGGUGGCAGGAGCCCCGGCCUCCUCAGAACCCUCGAUGAUGCUUCGGGAGGACGUUGUGUCACAUCGACACAACAGGAUGCUGAAUCCUUAGGACCCCUGGUGUUGAUUUGGGGAAAUAUGGGAUGCAUCCAUGCGGACAGAAGACCCCAGGCUUGUCAGGGCCUGUGGUGAGGCCUAAGAAAAAUGUGGGUGCCUCAUCCACACUGACAGGAGUCUCCAGCCUCCUCAGGACCCACUGUGAAGGUUUGAGAUUUGGGGCCACAUCUAUGCUGACAGGAGCCCCCAGCAUCCUCAGGUUUUAUGGUGAAGCUUGAGGAAAAUGUUGGGCCACCUCAACACUGACAGGACCCCCGUCCUCCUCAGGACAUGCACUUUGGCUUCGGGAAAUAUGGGGCUGCGUCUAUGCUGACAGGAGCCCACAGCUCCUCAGGACAUGUGGUGGGUUUUCUGGGAGACGUGUGGCCAUGUCCAAGUUGACAGGAGCCCCGGGCCACCUGAGGACCUGCUGUGAGGCUUCCAGACGAUGUGAGGCAUAGUCCACAGUGACAGGAGACCCAACGUCCUCAGGACCCGCUGACUAUGACUCAGGAACAAUUGGGGCCACGUCCGCACUCACAGGAACCCUGCUUCCUCAGGACCCCCUGGAGGACUCUGGAGGCAUUGUUGGGGGUCACGUCCACAUCAGAAGGGACUACUCAGAACCACAGGGGCCUGGGAUGGAUGGACCUGUUCGAACCCUGAACUUAAAGAGGAAAGACCUUCAUUUUCUCGGCCUCCUUGCGUCCCCUCCCAUCAUAUCUAGCUCUUUCCCCCUUCCCCAGAGCUCCUGAGAGAGCAAUUGAAAAUGACCUCAGCUUGGCAGGGUCUGUUGGGGGACAGGCCCAGGGAUUUGGGAUCAGGAAGACCUGGGGUGCGGGCAUACCGGCUGUGCAUCGGGAUUUGAUGCUGCAGACUCAUUCCCUAAGGCUAUCUUGACAACUGACUUUGUACAUAGAAAAGCUCUCCUUUAUCUUUAAAAGAUGAAGAGCCAGUCAAAGCCUUUUUUCUCUGCCCAUCUGAUUGCUCAGAUUCCAAUGUGAGAUGUAUUUCCUGUUAAUAAGGAUAAUUUACUAUCCGUAGUACUAUGGUUAAAAUAUUCUGACACAAGUAAUUCAGAGGGAUGAGGGUUUCUCAUCUCUUUCUUCACAGCUUAGUCACUCCUCAGGAAAUGCAUCGUUAUGGAUUUGGAAAGAACUGAGACACAUUAUUACCAAUGGUCCUAUUAUUAUGUGAAGGAUCCUUCCCUGAGAUUCUUCCCCUGUUUCCACUGACACUGAA